rnacentral:rRNA from 1 species
AUGCAGUCGAGGGGUAACAUUUCUAGCUUGCUAGAAGAUGACGACCGGCGCACGGGUGCGCAACGCGUAUACAAUCUGCCCCCUACUGUGGGAUAGCCCAGAGAAAUUUGGAUUAACACCACAUGGUACCCUAUUGCGGCAUCGCAUUUAGGGUUAAAGGUUACGGUAGGGGAUGAGUAUGCGUCCCAUUAGCUAGAUGGUAAGGUAACGGCUUACCAUUGCUACGAUGGGUAGGGGCCCUGAGAGGGGGAUCCCCCACACUGGUACUGAGACACGGACCAGACUCCUACGGGAGGCAGCAGUGAGGAAUAUUGGACAAUGGGCGGGAGCCUGAUCCAGCCAUGCCGCGUGCGGGAAGAAGGCCCUACGGGUCGUAAACCGCUUUUAUACGGGAAGAAACCCACCUACGUGUAGGUGGCUGACGGUACCGUAAGAAUAAGGACCGGCUAACUCCGUGCCAGCAGCCGCGGUAAUACGGAGGGUCCGAGCGUUAUCCGGAAUUAUUGGGUUUAAAGGGUCCGUAGGCGGGCCAUUAAGUCAGGGGUGAAAUACUACGGCUCAACCGUGGAACUGCCUUUGAUACUGAUGGUCUUGAAUUAUGGUGAAGUUGCCGGAAUAUGUAGUGUAGCGGUGAAAUGCAUAGAUAUUACAUAGAACACCGAUUGCGAAGGCAGGUGACUAACCAUACAUUGACGCUGAUGGACGAAAGCGUGGGUAGCGAACGGGAUUAGAUACCCCGGUAGUCCACGCCGUAAACGAUGGAUACUAGCUGUCCGGGUCCUUGAGACCUGGGCGGCCAAGCGAAAGUGAUAAGUAUCCCACCUGGGGAGUACGUUCGCAAGAAUGAAACUCAAAGGAAUUGACGGGGCCCGCA